rnacentral:lncRNA from 1 species
GAAGCAUUAAGUUUUUAUUUUGUCAAAUGAGGACAAGAGACAAAAAUCUUCCAUCUACCCUAAUCCUAACUUCAAAAAAGGAAGGACACUGGAACACCAAAAUUAAUGACUCCUCUGAGAACAAAGUAAUUGCUGACUUCAAAGAGCUCCAAGGAAGUUCAGUGGAUGGAAAGAAUUUGGCCAGCAACUGGACUGCAAGUUUACUGAGGACAGUGAUUCCCACUAUUCAGUUUCUCUCUAGCACUGGAGCAAGCCUGGCACAAGGAAGCGUCCUCAAAACACAGAGAAGAACUCUGAAAACCAUGAAGUUGGGUGUUAUCAUUUGUAUUCAAGAAGUCCAAAUUAAGCUGCCAAAGAGGAGAGAAAAUGUCACACGAUAUCACAAAAACUGCACUGGGUCACCUCUUCAUCAUGAAGUGGCAAAAGAGGAGACCCAUGUUGCAAGGAAAGAGAAGCAGAUGGGAUUCAAGGGAAUGAACCUGGGACCCCCAGGACCUGCUAUAAGAAGAGCUAAAAUUACAAGAGGCUUGUUGGAAGAAAUGUCAUACUCCAUAUACCUUCAGCUAUGA